GGGGUUGUGGUUCAGAGGUAGAGCGCACACCUAGCAUGUGCGAUGCCCUGGGUUCAAUCCCCAACACCA
rnacentral:tRNA from 1 species